rnacentral:ncRNA from 1 species
CUGAUCAGCGCAGGGGUGGACGUGCUCUGCACGAGCCCGCGUGUAUCAGCAUCAUACUGGUACAUCCGCGCGAUAGUCAG